CUCCUUGCCUCCUUCAGUCAAGAACGAGAGAGAGAGAGAGACUAGAGUCGAAACCUUAGCCCGCCGCAGCCGAGUUUUUGCCACCGUCCUCUGCAGCCGAGUUUUUGUCACCGUCCUCUGCAGCCGAGUUUUCGCCACCGUCCGGCAACAUCUUCACCUCCCACCAUACUAUUCGCACCCUCUCUCCGUCCUCUACCCUAACCCAGUUUUGGUUCACACAUUUGGGGUCCUCUCUAAUUCGAAUUAAAUAAGGACAGUUCGUCGGACUUUGCUUUUCCAACGAGCUUCCUCGUCUCCGGUCACCUGCUAUUCACCCUUGAGAAAAUAUCUCCCUUACCCAUCAAACUAUGACGGCUUCUUCUGGUGUGGACAGGUAACGUCUACGUGAUUGUUGAUGAGGGAAAACAUAUACUAUGGACUGCAUCUGUGGAGAAGAAGAUUUGUAGGAUGGCUAUAACUGCAUAUCAUUUUGGAGCAUUUUCAGCAGCUAGAUGUGCAUUGGUAUCUCACAAAUAUACGAGUGUAGUCACAUUUUGUGGGAUGAAACCAGCAACUUCUCUUGGGCAUUAAACAUGCAAAUAUGCAACUAAUCAGCCUGUUAUUGUUAGCUUCGUCAAGGAACAAGAAGCCUUACAAUUUCAGAUGAUUUGCAACUCUGAACAAAGUGUGUAUCAACACUUGGUGCUAGGCCUGAACAUGCUACAGAAGAGCUAUUAACUUCAUUGUAGUUUUGGUUUGUAAACCUGUAAGCUUAUCUCUUAUAUAAUCUUGAAGUAGAGGAAAAGAAGUACUUUGAAUUGUUCUGUAAACUCUUGUAUAGAGCUUCAUUUACUUUUUGUACAGCUUUUAUCCACAAAACUCUUCUAUAUAGUUCUUAUGCAAAAUUCGC